ensembl:lncRNA
CAACUAUCUGAGCCUGGACAAACACAAAACUGCAGUUCUUGUCUUCCCGCCCAUCUGGAGUGGGGACACAUCCUGCUACAUUGGCAAGACAUCAACCAGAGUUUAUAGGAGAGUGAACAAGAAUGAGCUCUUCUCCAAGUCUGGAGAAAAAUCCCUCCCAGGAUCUGAGGUCUGCUGCAAACCAGAGAGCAAAUGCCUUAUCGGUAGACAUAUAGUUAUACAGACAGCAAGGAGAUCCAACCAGUCAAUCCUAAAGGAACUCAACCCUGAAUAUUCAUUGGAAGGACUGAUGCUGAAGCUGAAGCUCCAGUACUUUGGCCACCUGAUGUGGAGAGCUGACUCAUUGGAAAAGAUCCUGAUGCUGGGAAAGAUUAAAGGCAGGAGGAGAAGGAAGUGACAGAGGAUGAGAUGGUUGGAUGGCCUCACCGACUCAAUGGACAUGAGUUUGAGCAAACUCUGGGAGAUGGUGAAGGACAGGAAAGCCUGGUGUGCUGGAGUCCAUGGGGUCACAGAGUCGGACAUGACUUAGCAACUGAACAACAACAACAAAUACAGACAUAAUAAUGAUAACAGCUGAUAUUGAGGGCUGACCAUGUGCCAAGCAGCAUUCCAACACAAUUUAGCACAUGAUACUCAAUUCAUCCUCACAAUUGACCUAUUAUUCCCAUUUUACAGAUGGUGAUACUGACAUAUAAAGGGGCCAAUGAAAAGCCCUAAAGUCACAUUACAGUAACAACUAGUAGAUGUUAGGUUCAAAUAACUGGCCCCUAAAGUCUGCUUGAUGGCACAGCCCGCAUUGCUAACUAUUAAGCUUGACUUGCUGCCUCUGGAAUGGUGUUUCUCAAAGCAAGUGAUGUGAACCUGCCAACAUUUGCCUUUGUGAUUCCCAUUCUCAGUCUUAUACCUGAUCUAGUCUUCAUGAAUGAUUAACUCAUUCAAUCAAACUAUAGAAAAAAUUGUGUCAUCAGGGACAAUGUACAAACAUCUUACAAGGCAAAAGGGCCUUGUUUGUACUGAGAUAUUUCUCCACUGGUCUUAGAGAGAUUCAAAUGGUUCUUCUACAGUGGGACAUCUUUAGUUUUAA